AUUUAUACUGUUUAUAAUGUUUGUGGUACAACCUGUGUAAAGUUUUGACGUCCAUUUUUAGCUUAGUAACGGGAUAUUAAUAUUAUAUAAAAAUAAACCGUGAAGCACAUAGUUAUAAUAAUCUAAUCAUAUAAAAGUUAUUGCGUGAUGUGUGCGAUACGAUGGUUCCUUCUCAAAUGUUGUAUAAUUGGAGUGUACAUUUCAGUCACAGAGACAAGUGUUUUGCUGCAAACAUCUGAUAGACAGACGACCUACGUAAUAAACUCUAAUGUAGAACUCGUGUGCACAAUUACUCCCUAUAAUAAUGAGAUGACUUGGUAUGUGGACAAUGAUGUAUACGCAGACUGUUUUUUAGGAGCAUGUGCCCCUUAUUCAAACAAACCAUAUACAUUUACAUUCACAUUUAAUGAAAAUGCGGGAGUAUUCAAGCUCGCUAUAGAUUCAGUGAAUUCUUCUCACGCUGAUCUUUCAUUUGCUUGCGACAACGGAACAGUGAGAGAAAGGAUUUCCUUCAAAGUGA